GACGAACGCUGGCGGCGUGCUUAACACAUGCAAGUCGAACGGUAAGGCCCUUCGGGGUACACGAGUGGCGAACGGGUGAGUAACACGUGGGUGACCUGCCCUGCACUUCGGGAUAAGCCUGGGAAACUGGGUCUAAUACCGGAUAGGACCACUGCCUGCAUGGGUGGUGGUGGAAAGCUUUUGCGGUGUGGGAUGGGCCCGCGGCCUAUCAGCUUGUUGGUGGGGUGAUGGCCUACCAAGGCGACGACGGGUAGCCGGCCUGAGAGGGUGACCGGCCACACUGGGACUGAGAUACGGCCCAGACUCCUACGGGAGGCAGCAGUGGGGAAUAUUGCACAAUGGGCGCAAGCCUGAUGCAGCGACGCCGCGUGAGGGAUGACGGCCUUCGGGUGGUAAACCUCUUUCAGCACCGACGAAGCGCAAGUGACGGUAGGUGCAGAAGAAGGACCGGCCAACUACGUGCCAGCAGCCGCAGUAA
rnacentral:rRNA from 1 species